AGCUGAGGAUUCAGGCUGUAAAUCUGGCUGGGACUCUGAAGCAGCACGAGCCCGUGGCCCCUGUUGUGACAGCUGCUGUGCCACCUUUGUGCCUUGCUGUGUGCUGCAGAGAUAUGGACACUGAGCACCAAGAAGAAAGAAGGAUGUUGGCUGGGUCAGCAAGCUUUGCUCCUGCAUUUGGAGUUCUGGGAGCCAGUGUUGACAGUAAUCCAUCAGCUCUUCCAUGUGAUUCCAUGCAGCCUGGCUGUGUGACUGCCAGCACAUCCCGUGGGGUGACCUGGCUGAGUGCUCUGCUCUGGGUCACUUUCCCUCUGCUUCUGGAACUCGUGGGCAGUCAGCAGAGGGGAUCAGCGACUCACAGGCACCACUGAGAGGGGUUUUUAUCUCAACCCACAAAUUUCC